AGUGAACGCUGGCGGUAGGCCUAACACAUGCAAGUCGAACGGCAGCACAGUAAGAGCUUGCUCUUACGGGUGGCGAGUGGCGGACGGGUGAGGAAUACAUCGGAAUCUACUUUUUCGUGGGGGAUAACGUAGGGAAACUUACGCUAAUACCGCAUACGACCUACGGGUGAAAGCAGGGGAUCUUCGGACCUUGCGCGAUUGAAUGAGCCGAUGUCGGAUUAGCUAGUUGGCGGGGUAAAGGCCCACCAAGGCGACGAUCCGUAGCUGGUCUGAGAGGAUGAUCAGCCACACUGGAACUGAGACACGGUCCAGACUCCUACGGGAGGCAGCAGUGGGGAAUAUUGGACAAAGGGCGCAAGCCUGAUCCAGCCAUACCGCGUGGGUGAAGAAGGCCUUCGGGUUGUAAAGCCCUUUUGUUGGGAAAGAAAAGCAGCAGGUUAAUACCCCGCUGUUCUGACGGUACCCUAAGAAUAAGCACCGGCUAACUUCGUG
rnacentral:rRNA from 1 species